UGAGGAUCCUGGGGCCAGCCCCUGUCUUUGCCAUCCUCUGGCCCUGCACUCUCAUACCUGUAAGCUCAGCACUUUGGGAGUCCAAGGUGGGCAGAUCAUGAGGUCAAGAGAUCGAGACUAGCCUGGCUAACAUGGCAAGACCCCGUCUCUACUAAAAAUACAAAAAUUAGCUGGGUGUGGUGGUGGGCACCUGUAGUCCCAGCUACUCGGGAGGCUGAGGCAGGAGAAUCGCUUGAACCUGGGAGGCAGAGGUUGCAGUAAGCCGAGAUCGUGCCACUACACUCCAGCCUGGUGACAGAGUGAGACUCUGUCUAUAAAUCAGUCAAUCAAUUAAUCAAUCACUGGUCCACGUGCCUUCACCCACACCCUCUCCCAGUCUGAGGUCCAAGAGUCUGGGGUUCAGGCUCCUUCCUGCAUGGACAGAUCCAUCCCUGAUGGCACCCUCUAGAGACAAAGGCAAGAAGGCCAUGGGCAGAGAUGUGGCAUGUCGUGGCUGCACUCAGAAGAGGAAGAAAAGACCACCAGAUAUUUUAGCUGCUGUAUUUUAAACAUCAGGACACGGAGGCUGAAAAUAGAUAAUGAUUGUGGAAAGCCAAACAGCUGACAUGUUUAUCCAUCUCAUUCAUCACUCCUUCUUCCCUCAGCAAUUGGUCUUGGGCAGCCCCUGCUUCUGAUAACCCCUGACAUUCACUCUGCCCUGGGUCUCUGAGGUCUUCUAGAACCCAGGACUCCACCAACCUCCCAGAGCCUAGGUGAAAAUCUGUGCAGGGGAGGGGGGCCUAUGGGGAACCCAGGGUGUCAGGAGGUGAGGGGAGACAAGAAUGGGGUGAAGCAGCCUCAUGAAGCAAGGAGAGCCUCAGACGCACCCCCCAGCACAGACAUCUGUGAGAUGUCUGCCUUGGGGGCCUUGAUGGGAUCCAGCGGUUCUGAGUCCAGCCUCAGGAGCCCCUGCGGUGGAGCUCUGAGUGGGGCAGGGGCCUGGGAGAUGCCAGAAGGAUGAGAGCAGGGCCCCCCUGGUCCAGGGGACAGUAAGAGGUAGCCAGUCCCAGAGAAGCGCCCCCACAAACUGUUACCCGUGGUGUGCAAAGCGUCCUGCAACCCCAGCCCUCACCAGGACUUCUUGCAUUUUUCAGGAAAGCAGUUGUGAUUGGCAUGGUUCUUAAGCGUCUGCAGGAAGCUGUGGCCUUUUUGGUAUUUCAGGAGGGGUUGCUAACCCCCCUCAUUGUAGGAUUGGGGUAUCCCAGCUGCUAAUUCCCCUCCUAACAGCCCUGCAGUGCCUGGAUUGGAGGUGUGACAGGUGGCAUUUUCGGCCCGAAGUCCCUAGGAAGGAGAGGUGGCUGUAGCCUGCGCAUUUGUGUAAAUUAACCACCCCUUUUAGUUCUGUGAAAGGAGAACUCGAUUAGUUUAAAAUCACCUGCGUGAAAGAGGGUCUUGAUUAGUUUAAAAUCACCUGUGUGAAAGGGUCACUUGAUUAGUUUAAAAUCACCUGUGUGAAAGAGGCUCUUGAUUAAUUUAAAAUCACCUGUGUGAAAGGGUCACUCGGGUAGUUUAAAAUCACCCACGUGAAAGGGGCCCUUGAUUAGCUUAAAAUCACCUGGGUGUUUCAUUUUAUCUCAGUUGACCUCUGAAUCUUUAUCCUACAGCUUCUUGCAAGCUCCAGUCUACCUUCUAAAGGAAUAAUGGGGCUCACCUUUCUAUGUUACUUUAUGUGGGAGUAGUUGUAAAACAGAAUAAGGGAGACUGCGGGGAUUGUGCAGAAAUGUAGCACCCGUUUACGUGUUGGGAGGCUGAGGUGGGAGGAUCGCUUGAGCCCAGGAGUUUGACACCAGCAUGGGCAACUUGGUAAGAUCCCUUCUCUACCCCCCAAAAAAAAAAAUUUAGCUGGGCAUGGUGGUGGGUGCCUGUGGUCCCAGCUACUCAGGACGCUGAGGUGGGAGGAUUGCUUGAGCCCAGGAGUUUGACACUAGCAUGGGCAACAUGGUAAGACCCCAUAUCUACAAAAAAAGAAAAGAAAAAGAUAAAAAAAGAAAAAUUAGUCCAGCGUGGUGGUGGGUGCCUGUGGUCCCAGCUACUUGGGAGGCUGAGGUGGGAGGAUUGCUGGAGCCCAGGAGUUUGACACCAGCAUGGGCAACAUGGUGUAAGAACCUGUAUCUACAAAAAAAAAAAAAAAAAAAGAAGAAAGAAAAGUUAGCCGGGCGUGGUGGUGGGGGCCUGUGGUCCCAGCUACUUUGGAGGCUGAGGUGGAAGGAUCACCUGAGCCCAGGAGGUGGAGGCUGCAGUAAGCUUAGAUUGCAGCACUGCGGUCCAGCCUGGGUGACAGAGUGAGACCCCAUCUCAAACCAGAAGCACCAAAAGGUGUCUGAGGUCAGGCACGGUGGCUCACGCCUGUAAUUCCAGCACUUUGGGAGGCUGAGGUGGGUGGAUCACCUGAGGUCAGGAGUUCGAAACCAGCCUGGCCAACAUGGAGAAACACCGACUCUACUAAAUAUGCAAAAAUUAGCUGGGUGUGGUGGCACACACCUGUAGUCCUAGCUACUGCAGAGGCUGAGGUAGGAGAAUCGCUUGAACCUGGGAGGUGGAGGUUGCAGUGAGCUGAGAUUGCACCACUGCACUCCAGCAUGGGUGACAGAGUGAGACCUUGACGGGGGCGGGGUGGGGGUGGGAUGGACCUUCUGGGGAUGGACCUAAGAUGGUGGUAGGAGCCUCUACAAGUGGAAUUGUGAUGUGCACAGCCUGGGUAAAUGGGGUUGGCUAUAUUUAGAC
rnacentral:lncRNA from 10 species